GUCUAUGGACAUACCACCCUGAACACACCCAGUCUCAUCUGAUCUCAGAAGCUAAGCAGGGUUGGACCUGCUUAAUACUUAGAUGGGAGACAGAGAGAAACUGAGAGGUAAGGGGG
ensembl:rRNA 5S_rRNA 5S ribosomal RNA